GUUGCGUGCGGGCCGCCGUACAGUGAGGGUGUGGAGUGUUUCAGGCUCCCGCUAUACACUCCUCCACACGUUGUAUCCAGAGCUACUACUACUGCCGCCGCCGCCACCUACACCGCCACCACACCGCUGUACCCGCUCCACAUCUUGCACCACAUCACCGUUGCUUCCACUACCUCCACUCCGUUGUCUCCACUUCACAAGAGAACAAUAACCAAACGCGGACACCAAAGACUAAGAAAUAAAGAACAAGAACACGAACACGGUGCCAAAAUGUGACGCAAAAUGAAAUAGUGAAUCCCGGAAAUUUAUAUUAAAAAGCUACGAAACUGCCGAGCCGAGGAAGAGAGAAAGAAAGAAAAAAAGGUAACCCGGUAUUGUGCAGAAAGAGAGAGGAAGAGGGAAGAGAAGCGGUGACAGAUUGCAAAUGAAAGCAGGGAAGAGGGAAGGAAACGAACAGGGCGAGAAAGCAAACAGCGACUGACACGUAUUGAAUUAUUUACACGGAAAGGGAGAACAAGGGAAACAAAGUCGAGUGCGAAAACAACAGAUGAAAGAAAAGAAAAAUAAAUCACGGAAACAAAAAAACAAGACGAGCAUAACAUCAACAAAAUAAAAUAAAAGAUUAGUCGCAAACACAGAACAGAAAGUGACAACAACAGCAACUGAAAAGAAAUAGAAAUAAACGAAAAUCAGAAUAUAGAAAAUGUGAAAAGCGAGAGAGGAAAACAGAAAUCCACCCACUGGGACACAAACACACACACACACACACACACACACACAAAGAGAACCAAAAUAUCAAAAUUGAGAACCAGAAAUAUUGAGAAACAGAAUAUUAGGAAAACGACAACACAAAUCCACACAAACACACGAACACACAUAAAAAAAGAAAGUUAGAACUUCACCGCAAGAUAAAAAGAAAUAAGAAACAGAAUAACAGCAAAAGGUAAUAAGAGAAACAGAAACAGACAGAAUAACAGGGAGACAGCAACAUCAUAACAGCAAAAGGUAAUAAGAGAAACAGAAAUAAAGACAUAGAAAAAAACAGGGAGACAGAAACAACAUAACAGGAAAAUUAUAAUAAAGAAAAAAAGAAGGAAAAAAAACAGAAUAAAGAAACAGAAUAGCAGGUGAAGGUCAAGAUAAAACAGCCCACACACCUGGAGCAAGAUUGUCCACACACCUGUCCGCGGUCUCAUCAAGGUGUGUCAAGCGGAGCGUCGCGUCGCCCACACGUGCAACAGGAUCACCACCCAGCAGCCAGCCUCCACCACCACCACCGCCACCACCUGGACACCUCCCCGCACUGGACAUCAAAAAACCCCAUAAAGGAAACACAUCAAGGAACGCUUCUGAGUGACCCUUCCUCGGCUGUGUCAAAAGGGCGAAGUUAUCUAGAGUGGAAAAAAGAGGCAGAAAAGAAGAUAAAUAUAGGAAUAAAAAUUGAGACAGAAAAGAAAGACAAAGAAAAAUAGUGGCAGAAAAAGAGGAGAAAAAUAGUGAGACAGGGAGAAGAAAAAUAAUAUAGACAAAUAAAGAGGCAGAAAAAAAGAUACGAAGUAUAUAAAAAAAAAAAUAGAAAGAGGCAGAAAAAUAGAAGAAAAUAAAGAAAAAUAUAAUGUGGUCAGGAGAUGUGGAAAAUAUAUACAGCUGGUAGACGGUGAAAAGAAAAGGAAAGUGAAGCUACCAGGAAAAAAAAAUAUAAGUACCGGAAAGGUUGUGGAAAAAGUUGGAAAGAAAAAAUCCACGUAUACAACACGAAAAAUAAAGUUCUGUCCUGUAAACAAGAGAGAAAAAACAAGAAAAAUAGUGUUAGAGUUUUCUUUUGCAACAGCGAGAGAAAAAAAAGUAUGAAAGCGUGUGAAGGAAAAAACUUGUACGUGUGAGUGGGUAGCCGAGGAAUAAAGAGGAAAAAAAAGUAUCAAGCCCACACAAACACACAAACACACGCCACACACAAAGAAUAAUUGAGGGACGGUAGAGACAGAGAGAGGAAGUUAAACAAAAGACUGCCGCUGUAACGAUUCAAGGCCGAGAGAGGCGCGCACAAAACAACAACAACAACAACAGCAUCAUGUGGAGGAGAAAAAGGAGGAGCAGGAGGAGCAAGACGUGGCUGUUGUGAAAGAAGAGAUAGACGAAAAGGAUAAAAGAGUGGAAACUGUUAAAGGCAGAACUGAAAACGAGGAGACAGAGAGGAAACAGACGAGAAGUAUUGACAAGUUAGCAACGAAAGCCGCGGACAGACAAACGUGAAGGAAAAAUUGACCUUGAACAUCGGGCGAAGGGAAUAAGAAAACAUAAAACAAAGGGAAGAGAAAGAAAGCAGAACAAACGAUGAAAUAUAAAGAACAAAACGAAGAAGAAAAUAUAUGAAUACGUGUAACAAAAAAUGUGAAAAUUGAAUAAAAGAAACAGAAGGACAAAAAAAUACAUGAAAACGUAAAAUAAAACAAAAGUGAAAUCAAAGGAAAAAAAUAUAAAACUGAAAACAGAAUUCAUGUUUAAAAAAGAAAAGAUAAAAGAAGAAAAUAAACUGCAACAAAGACAAACAUAGAAUGACAGAUGUGAUGAUGAUGACGAUGAUGACAAUGACGACGAGGAGGACAGCGAAGAGAAGAAACAAAAGCGAAGCGACAUGCGCCUCCUCCUGUCUUCCAUGCCCCAAGAGACAGGCCCCCUCCCCCCCUCCCUGCCCCCCCUCCCCCGCCCCCUACACCACCGCCGGGGCUCUCAUCCACCAAGGGACGCCGUGAGAGAGAGAGAGAGAGAGAGAGAGAGAGAGAGAGAGAGAGAGAGAGAGAGAGAGAGAGAGAGAGAGAGAGAGAGAGAUUCGCAGUGGACGUAAAGAUUUAAGAGAUCAGACUUUUACGUCCUUCCUUGAUGCUUGAAGGCCCCGAGGAAAGAGAGAGAGAAAAAAAAAAAGAAAAGAAAAGAAAGCCAGAAAAUUACAAGAAAAUUAUGAAUCAUCGUAAAACUUGAGGCCACGAGUCUGCUUCCUCGAGGCUGAGACCGGGAAAUAAAUGGAAAUAGUUUAGAAAGGAGGAAGAAAAAUAUAAGAGAAAAGAAAUAUUGUCGACGGAAGGGAAGCUGAAAGAGUAAGAAUCCCGCAUACACACACACACACACACACACACACACACACACACACACACAGACACACACACACACACAUACACACACACACGGAA